rnacentral:rRNA from 1 species
UAGCCACGGUAACACCAGCUCCCCGAGUGGUCAGGACGGUUAUUGGGCCUAAAGCAUCCGUAGCCGGCUCUGUAGGUCUUCUGUUAAAUUCACCGACUCAAUCGGUGAGCUGCAGGAGAUACCGCAGGGCUAGGAGGCGGGAGAGGUGGACGGUACUCCAAGGGUAGGGGUAAAAAUCCUCUGAUCCUUGGAAGACCACCGGUGGCGAAGGC